GAUGAACGCUGGCGGCGUGCCUAAUACAUGCAAGUCGAGCGAAUGGAUUAAGAGCUUGCUCUUAUGAAGUUAGCGGCGGACGGGUGAGUAACACGUGGGUAACCUGCCCAUAAGACUGAGAUAACUCCGGGAAACCGGGGCUAAUACCGGAUAACAUUUUGAACCGCAUGGUUCGAAAUUGAAAGGCGGCUUCGGCUGUCACUUAUGGAUGGCCCCGCGUCGCAUUAGCUAGUUGGUGAGGUAACGGCUCACCAAGGCAACGAUGCGUAGCCGACCUGAGAGGGUGAUCGGCCACACUGGGACUGAGACACGGCCCAGGCUCCUACGGGAGGCAGCAGUAGGGAAUCUUCCGCAAUGGACGAAAGUCUGACGGAGCAACGCCGCGUGAGUGAUGAAGGCUUUCGGGUCGUAAAACUCAGUUGUUAGGGAAGAACAAGUGCUAGUUGAAUAAGCUGGCACCUUGACGGUACCUAACCAGAAAGCCACGGCUAACUACGUGCCAGCAGCCGCCGUAA
rnacentral:rRNA from 1 species